GAUGAACGCUAGCGAUAGGCGUUGACACAUGCAGUCGAGGCAGCAUGGUUUAGCUUGCUAAGAUGAUGCGACCGGGCCGGGUGCGUACGCGUAUGCAACUGCCUCCAGAGGGGAUACCCGUCGAAAGACGGACUAAUCCGCGACCUCCAUCUUGGGCAUCCAAGGUGAGGAAAUGAAUUCGCUGUGAGAUAGGCAUGCGUCCCAUUAGCUAGUUGGUGAGGUAACGGCUCACCAAGGCAACGAUGGGUAGGGGAACUGAGAGGCUGAACCCCCACACUGGUACUGAGACACGGACCAGACUCCUACGGGAGGCAGCAGUGAGGAAUAUUGGUCAAUGGGCGAGAGCCUGAACCAGCCAAGUCGCGUAAAGGAUGACAGUCUUAUGGAUUGUAAACUUCUUUUAUACGGGAAUAACAAGAGUCACGUGUACUCCCUG
rnacentral:rRNA from 1 species